rnacentral:misc_RNA from 1 species
GUGAAUCAUCGAAUUUUUGAACGCAAAUUGCACUCUCCUCGGAGAGUAUGAGUGUUUGAGGGUCAGCCUAUAAAAAAUCGACAUCGUUGUUGUUUAGCGGUGGCGUUCGUGGGAAAUGGGGUCAUGUUAAUUCCUUUUGAUUUUUAAGAGAUUUAAAAUUUUUUUUUUGGUUACAUGAAGGUUUCUAAGAUUUAUUUUUUUAUUCUUUUAGGUUAUCG